UAUGAGAGUUUGAUCCUGGCUCAGGACGAACGCUGGCGGCGUGCCUAAUACAUGCAAGUCGUACGCUUCUUUUUCCACCGGAGCUUGCUCCACCGGAAAAAGAAGAGUGGCGAACGGGUGAGUAACACGUGGGUAACCUACCCAUCAGAAGGGGAUAACACUUGGAAACAGGUGCUAAUACCGUAUAACAAUCGAAACCGCAUGGUUUUGAUUUGAAAGGCGCUUUCGGGUGUCGCUGAUGGAUGGACCCGCGGUGCAUUAGCUAGUUGGUGAGGUAACGGCUCACCAAGGCCACGAUGCAUAGCCGACCUGAGAGGGUGAUCGGCCACAUUGGGACUGAGACACGGCCCAAACUCCUACGGGAGGCAGCAGUAGGGAAUCUUCGGCAAUGGACGAAAGUCUGACCGAGCAACGCCGCGUGAGUGAAGAAGGUUUUCGGAUCGUAAAACUCUGUUGUUAGAGAAGAACAAGGAUGAGAGUAACUGUUCAUCCCUUGACGGUAUCUAACCAGAAAGCCACGGCUAACUACGUGCCAGCAGCCGCGGUAAUACGUAGGUGGCAAGCGUUGUCCGGAUUUAUUGGGCGUAAAGCGAGCGCAGGCGGUUUCUUAAGUCUGAUGUGAAAGCCCCCGGCUCAACCGGGGAGGGUCAUUGGAAACUGGGAGACUUGAGUGCAGAAGAGGAGAGUGGAAUUCCAUGUGUAGCGGUGAAAUGCGUAGAUAUAUGGAGGAACACCAGUGGCGAAGGCGGCUCUCUGGUCUGUAACUGACGCUGAGGCUCGAAAGCGUGGGGAGCAAACAGGAUUAGAUACCCUGGUAGUCCACGCCGUAAACGAUGAGUGCUAAGUGUUGGAGGGUUUCCGCCCUUCAGUGCUGCAGCUAACGCAUUAAGCACUCCGCCUGGGGAGUACGACCGCAAGGUUGAAACUCAAAGGAAUUGACGGGGGCCCGCACAAGCGGUGGAGCAUGUGGUUUAAUUCGAAGCAACGCGAAGAACCUUACCAGGUCUUGACAUCCUUUGACCACUCUAGAGAUAGAGCUUCCCCUUCGGGGGCAAAGUGACAGGUGGUGCAUGGUUGUCGUCAGCUCGUGUCGUGAGAUGUUGGGUUAAGUCCCGCAACGAGCGCAACCCUUAUUGUUAGUUGCCAUCAUUCAGUUGGGCACUCUAGCAAGACUGCCGGUGACAAACCGGAGGAAGGUGGGGAUGACGUCAAAUCAUCAUGCCCCUUAUGACCUGGGCUACACACGUGCUACAAUGGGAAGUACAACGAGUCGCGAAGUCGCGAGGCUAAGCUAAUCUCUUAAAGCUUCUCUCAGUUCGGAUUGUAGGCUGCAACUCGCCUACAUGAAGCCGGAAUCGCUAGUAAUCGCGGAUCAGCACGCCGCGGUGAAUACGUUCCCGGGCCUUGUACACACCGCCCGUCACACCACGAGAGUUUGUAACACCCGAAGUCGGUGAGGUAACCUUUUGGAGCCAGCCGCCUAAGGUGGGAUAGAUGAUUGGGGUGAAGUCGUAACAAGGUAGCCGUAUCGGAAGGUGCGGCUGGAUCACCUCCUUUCUAAGGAA
rnacentral:rRNA from 2 species